GAUGAACGCUGGCGGCGUGCCUAAUACAUGCAAGUCGAGCGAACAGACGAGGAGCUUGCUCCUCUGACGUUAGCGGCGGACGGGUGAGUAACACGUGGAUAACCUACCUAUAAGACUGGGAUAACUUCGGGAAACCGGAGCUAAUACCGGAUAAUAUAUUGAACCGCAUGGUUCAAUAGUGAAAGACGGUUUUGCUGUCACUUAUAGAUGGAUCCGCGCCGCUUUAGCUAGUUGGUAAGGUAACGGCUUACCAAGGCGACGAUGCGUAGCCGACCUGAGAGGGUGAUCGGCCACACUGGAACUGAGACACGGUCCAGACUCCUACGGGAGGCAGCAGUAGGGAAUCUUCCGCAAUGGGCGAAAGCUUGACGGAGCAACGCCGCGUGAGUGAUGAAGGUCUUCGGAUCGUAAAACUCUGUUAUUAGGGAAGAACAAAUGUGUAAGUAACUAUGCACGUCUUGACGGUACCUAAUCAGAAAGCCACGGCUAACUACGUG
rnacentral:rRNA from 1 species